AUUGAACGCUGGCGGCAUGCUUUACACAUGCAAGUCGAACGGUAACAGGCCUUCGGGUGCUGACGAGUGGCGAACGGGUGAGUAAUGCAUCGGAACGUGCCCAGAGGUGGGGGAUAACGCAGCGAAAGCUGUGCUAAUACCGCAUGUGAUCUGAGGAUGAAAGCGGGGGACCAGGCAGCAAUGUUUGGCCUCGCGCCUUUGGAGCGGCCGAUGUCAGAUUAGGUAGUUGGUGGGGUAAAGGCCUACCAAGCCGACGAUCUGUAGCUGGUCUGAGAGGACGAGCAGCCACGCUGGGACUGAGACACGGCCCAGACUCCUACGGGAGGCAGCAGUGGGGAAUUUUGGACGAUGGGCGCAAGCCUGAUCCAGCAAUGCCGCGUGCGGGAAGAAGGCCUUCGGGUUGUAAACCGCUUUUGUACGGAACGAAAAGGCUCUGGCUAAUACCUGGGGCUGAUGACGGUACCGUAAGAAUAAGCACCGGCUAACUACG
rnacentral:rRNA from 1 species